rnacentral:rRNA from 1 species
AUUGAACGCUGGCGGCAUGCCUUACACAUGCAAGUCGAACGGUAACGGGCCUUCGGGUGCCGACGAGUGGCGAACGGGUGAGUAAUACAUCGGAACGUGCCCGAUCGUGGGGGAUAACGAGGCGAAAGCUUUGCUAAUACCGCAUACGAUCUACGGAUGAAAGCAGGGGACCGCAAGGCCUUGCGCGGACGGAGCGGGCGAUGGCAGAUUAGGUUGUUGGUGGGAUAAAAGCUUACCAAGCCGACGAUCUGUAGCUGGUCUGAGAGGGUGAUCAGCCACACGGGAACUGAGACACGGCCCAGACGCCUACGGGAGGCAGCAGUGGGGAAUUUUAGACAAUGGGCGCAAGCCUGAUCCAGCCAGGCCGAGUGCAGGAUGAAGGCCUUCGGGUUGUAAACUGCUUUUGUACGGAACGAAAAGCCUUCGUUUAAUACAGGAGGGUCAUGACGGUACCGUAUGAAUAAGCACCGGCUAACUACGUG